GCCUGGUUGCGUAGUGGUUAAGAGUUUGGCUGCUAACCAAAAGGCUGGCAGUUCAAAACCACCAGGCA
rnacentral:tRNA from 1 species